UACGUAGGUGGCAAGCGUUGUCCGGAUUUACUGGGCGUAAAGAGCGCGCAGGCGGUCGUUCAAGUCGAGUGUGAAAGCCCCCGGCUCAACUGGGGAGGGUCACUCGAUACUGAUCGACUCGAAGGCAGAAGAGGGAAGCGGAAUUCCCGGUGUAGUGGUGAAAUGCGUAGAUAUCGGGAGGAACACCAGUGGCGAAGGCGGCUUUCUGGUCUGCUCUUGACGCUGAGGUGCGAAAGCGUGGGGAGCGAACAGG
rnacentral:rRNA from 1 species